UACGAAGGGGGCUAGCGUUGCUCGGAAUCACCGGGCGUAAAGGGCGCGUAGGCGGCGUUUUAAGUCGGGGGUGAAAGCCUGUGGCUCAACCACAGAAUGGCCUUCGAUACUGGGACGCUUGAGUAUGGUAGAGGUUGGUGGAACUGCGAGUGUAGAGGUGAAAUUCGUAGAUAUUCGCAAGAACACCGGUGGCGAAGGCGGCCAACUGGACCAUUACUGACGCUGAGGCGCGAAAGCGUGGGGAGCAAACAGG
rnacentral:rRNA from 1 species